UCGGGAAUUUUGGGCAAUGGGCGCAAGCCUGACCCAGCAACGCCGCGUGAGGGAUGAAGGCCUUCGGGUCGUAAACCUCUGUCGGGAGGGAAGAACGUCGCACGGGCGAAUAGUCCGGGCGGUUGACGGUACCUCCAAAGGAAGCACCGGCUAACUCCGUGCCAGCAGCCGCGGUAAUACGGAGGGUGCGAGCGUUGUUCGGAAUCAUUGGGCGUAAAGCGCGUGUAGGCGGCUUGGUAAGUCGGGUGUGAAAUCCCGGGGCCCAACCCCGGAACUGCACUCGAAACUGCCUCGCUUGAGUCCCGGAGAGGAAGGCGGAAUUCCCGGUGUAGAGGUGAAAUUCGUAGAUAUCGGGAGGAACACCAGCGGCGAAGGCGGCCUUCUGGACGGUGACUGACGCUGAGACGCGAAAGCGUGGGGAGCAAACAGGAUUAGAUACCCCCGUAGUCC
rnacentral:rRNA from 1 species